rnacentral:misc_RNA from 1 species
CUUAAAGGAUAAUCUAGAGUUUAAUUCAGAAAACAAAGAGACCUUUGGUCAGUUAGUAUUUGGAUCUAGCUGUACCACAACUGCAUCUCUUGUUCUAGCUGUCAUCUCUUCCAUAUGAUCUACAGUUCUGGUUGAGAGUGUUAUAGAAUUGUGGAGGGAGAGAGAAAACCUUUGAAGCUUACGGUACUUAGCAACCAGCAGAUAUACAUUCCUGGGUGUCACACCUCUGGUAGUGUUACUGUGACAAACUGAGAAAGAAUGGGUUGCACUGUCAGGAGAUGUGGUGGAUAUAUGGAGAUAUGCUAUGUGCUACUGGGGGCAUUGUGCUGGAUGCAGAUAGCCAGGGCUUAUGUUGUAAAUGACCCUGAGGCCAGUCAAGAGAUUGAUUCUAUUACAUGCUGGACCUGUCCAGAAAAAGCAAACAACCAUGCUUGCAACAGAUGGGCCCCCGAUGUUCCUUGCCAUAAAAAUCAUACUGUGUGUCACACCCACCACAGAUAUGACAGUCUCAGACAUAAAACUAUCUCAGUCACCAAGACAUGUGCCAGAGCAUCUGAAUGUACCCACAAUACUGCUGGCUGCACAGAGACAGAUGUUGUAGGCAUUUAUGACUGUAUCUCAUGCUGUAACAAGGCCUACUGCAAUAGAGCAAUCCCCUCAAACCAUAGCGAAGCUCUCAGACUUACUGUACUUAGUGGUUCAGACAAUCUGAAGCUAAGCAAACACAUAGUGUGGAUUAUCUCCAUAGUGUAUAUAAUAAGAUACAUAUUCAGGACUGAUUUAUAGAUCAGAGAUACAACACAUAUUGUUAUUGUGUAUAUACAUAUUGUUUAAUAUGCCCUUUCAUUCAACGAUAUCAUGUCAAGUGAAAAGCAGUCAGUCCAAAUAGUGCAAAGAUGUAACAUCUCUAAAAAUGUGUUCAUACAUGUUGAUUGUAUUGUGUUUUGUCACAAAUUUCGUAAGAGAAUGAGGCAUAUGAUCUUAUAUACAACAGCAAUACGUCCAAUCACUAAGAUAAUCUCUGUUUAUGUGGUGCUAGAUCUCAACUUUUACUUAUCUGCUGCACAAGUGUAAUACUGGCCAAGAGUGCACAGACAUUUUGCAACAGUUUAAUCCUGACAUAGGUGCACAGACAUUUUGCAACAGUGUAAUCCUGGCCUAAGCAACAGUACAAAUCUGGAAUAAGGUGUACAGACAAUUUGCAAAAGUACAAUCCUGGUCACAACACAGACAACUGCAAAUGUACAAUUCUGGACUACAAUGAACAGACAUUUUGCAAUAGUACAUCCCUGGUCUACAAUGCACAAACAGUAUGCAAUGGUGCUAUUUUGACUAAAACGUACAGACAAUUUGCAAAGUACAAAGACAUUUAGCAUAGAUUAUUUAGUACAGUGCAGUACAAUGUACAGUUGACAUUUAUUUUAUACAAACCAUCCUAUAUCAGAAAAAUGACAAUCAGAAAAUAGUGUAUACUGU